UACGGGGGGGGGCAAGCGUUGUUCGGAAUUACUGGGCGUAAAGGGCUCGCAGGCGGCCGACUAAGUCAGACGUGAAAUCCCUUGGCUUAACCAAGGAAUGGCGUCUGAUACUGGACGGCUUGAAUUCGGGAGAGGGAUGUGGAAUUCCAGGUGUAGCGGUGAAAUGCGUAGAUAUCUGGAGGAACACCCGUGGCUAAGGCGGCUCUCUAGUACGGUACUGACGCUGAGACGCGAAAGCGUGGGGAGCGAACAGG
rnacentral:rRNA from 1 species